AGCGAACGCUGGCGGCAGGCCUAACACAUGCAAGUCGAACGAAGUCUUCGGACUUAGUGGCGGACGGGGGAGUAACACGUGGGAACGUGCCUUUAGGUUCGGAAUAACUCAGGGAAACUUGUGCUAAUACCGAAUGUGCCCUUCGGGGGAAAGAUUGAUCGCCUUUAGAGCGGCCCGCGUCUGAUUAGCUAGUUGGUAAGGUAAUGGCUCACCAAGGCUACGAUCAGUAGCUGGUCUGAGAGGAUGACCAGCCACAUUGGGACUGAGACACGGCCCAAACUCCUACGGGAGGCAGCAGUGGGGAAUCUUGCGCAAUGGGCGAAAGCCUGACGCAGCCAUGCCGCGUGGAUGAUGAAGGUCUUAGGAUUGUAAAAUCCUUUCACCGGUGAAGAUAAUGACUGUAGCCGGAGAAGAAGCCCCGGCUAACUUCGUGCCAGCCGCCGCGGUAAUAC
rnacentral:rRNA from 1 species